AGCCUGAAACAUGCUUCUGCGACUGCGUCUGCGUCUUUUCACGCCGCUGUGGCGCAAGACUCGUUUUCAUUCAUGCUUCCCCAACCGUUGCGCGUCUUACAAAGCAAUUCCGCGCCAGAACACUAGGCGGAGUAAUGCUUUUUGUCGAGACGACCUUAGAGACGCUUCUUUCUUCUUCGUCGAUUGUUUAUUUACAUAGCCACUGCGGCUCCUCGUAGCCUUUUUCUGGCGGACAAAUCCGCCAGUCAGUGACAGGUUAUACAAGUGAUCAUACUAUCGGAUAUCUUCUGCCAAGUGCUCUUCUAUUUGGUCCAUAUUCGUUCUUCUAAAUCUUCCGUGAUUUCUGCCGGUAUUAUGGGGGCAUGAAACCGGAAAUGCAGCUCCAGAAGGGAUGUAGAGCAGACCAAUCACAGCCUUGCGGGCUGAGUGAGCUUGCGGAGCUUUGCCGUAAAUUUUAGAAAAGGGGGUCGACACCCGUCAGCACGUAAGGAGGGAUACAUAAGCACGUAAGGGACCCGGAAGGGCUCUUGCGCUUACGGGCCCGUGAAAACGCAGAAGCAUGUUUCAGGCUUCAUCCGGCACGUGUCUCUGCGUCACGGCCUUUAGCUGCCUGUGCGCCGGGGCCGUGUGAGGACAAGCAGCUCGGAGCCAGACACACGUACACAGAGAGUGAUGUUAACCAACCCUGCUCCACACCAGCGACUCACCUGUGCGCCACUGACCCGGUGCGAGGUGUCACAGGCUGGUGGGCUUUAUAGAAAGUGUGCGGAGCCUCCAGGACACGAUGGACCCAGAGGACACGAUGGACUCAGUCACCUGCACAGUGCAGGAAUUACAACACGAGUUCAAAAACAACAAGCCGGAGACACGUCAAGCUCACGGUGCUGAGAUUUGAGAAAACUGGAAGGAAGUGGGUGGGAUUUUGAAAAUAAAAUACGAAUGAAAUGAAA